UGGGCUGCAGCUCAGUGGCAGAGUUCUUGCCCUGUAUGUGCAAAGUCCUGGGUUCAAUUCCCAGCAUCACAG
rnacentral:tRNA from 1 species